rnacentral:snRNA from 1 species
AAAACUUUUUCGAAAGAAAAAAAAAAUCUGUUCUUAUCAGUUUAAUAUCUGAUACGUCCCCUACCCGGGGACUACAUAUUAAAUUGAUUUUUGGAUCACGGAGCUGGAGCCGGGGCUUGCUCUGUCCACUCCACGCAUCGGCCUGGUAUUGCAGUGUCUCCAGGAACGGUGUGCUUCCC